UAAAAGUCGUAACAAGGUUUCUGUAGGUGAACCUGCAGAAGGAUCAUUAGCGAAGAUUUGGGCAGGCCAUACGGACGCCAAAAAGUGUCCCUGGCCGCCUACACCCACUAUACAUCCACAAACCCGUGUGCACUGUCUUGGAGAAAGGCUUCAGAGAAGUUUUUUGUGGCCUCUCUUGGGGUCUUUCUUCGCUACAAACUCGAAUGGUUAGUAUGAACGUGGAACUUGGUUGGACCGUCACUGGCCAACAAACUAUACACAACUUUCGACAACGGAUCUCUUGGUUCUCCCAUCGAUGAAGAACGCAGCGAAACGCGAUAGGUAAUGUGAAUUGCAGAAUUCCGUGAAUCAUCGAAUCUUUGAACGCACCUUGCGCUCUAUGGCAAUCCGUAGAGCAUGCCUGUUUGAGUGCCAUGAAAUCUCCCACCCCAAGCAGUUUUUAAAUGAAACGGCUUGGCGGAUGGGGUCUGGAUGGGUGCCUCUGCCUGCGCUACCUAGCACAGGCUCGCCCGAAAUGCAUGAGCGCCUUGAGACACUUUGCAUCCGCCUCUCUGUUUGGGAGGAGGCGGCCAAGCAGUGUUUUUCUCCUGGCAUGGCAUGAUGCGUCAUUUGCUAUGUCGCCUAAAGGAGGAAUGUUUGGUUGUGUCUGCGUGUGCUUCGAACUUGCCUCUGUGGCACAUCCCAAUUUCACUUCUGGUCUCAAAUCAGGUAGGAUCACCCGCUGAACUUAAGCAUAUCAAUA
rnacentral:rRNA from 1 species